AGUCGAGCGGUAGAGAGAAGCUUGUUCUCUGAGAGCGGCGACGGGGAGUAAAGCCUAGGAUCUCCCUGGUAGUGGGGGAUAACGUUCGGAAACGGACGCUAAUACCGCCAUACGUCCUACGGGAGAAAGCAGGGGACCUUCGGGCCUUGCGCUAUCAGAUGAGCCUAGGUCGGAUUAGCUAGUUGGUGAGGUAAUGGCUCCCCCAAGGGGACGAUCCGUAACUGGUUUGAGGAGGAUGAUCAGUCACACUGGAACUGAGACACGGUCCAGACUCCUACGGGAGGCAGCAGUGGGGAAUAUUGGACAAUGGGCGAAAGCCUGAUCCAGCCAUGCCGCGUGUGUGAAGAAGGUCUUCGGAUUGUAAAGCACUUUAAGUUGGGAGGAAGGGCAUUAACCUAAUACGUUAGUGUUUUGACGUUACCGACAGAAUAAGCACCGGCUAACUCUGUGCCAGCAGCCGCGGUAAUACAGAGGGUGCAAGCGUUAAUCGGAAUUACUGGGCGUAAAGCGCGCGUAGGUGGUUUGUUAAGUUGGAUGUGAAAUCCCCGGGCUCAACCUGGGAACUGCAUUCAAAACUGACUGACUAGAGUGUGGUAGAGGGUGGUGGAAUUUCCUGUGUAGCGGUGAAAUGCGUAGAUAUAGGAAGGAACACCAGUGGCGAAGGCGACCACCUGGACCAACACUGACACUGAGGUGCGAAAGCGUGGGGAGCAAACAGGAUUAGAUACCCUGGUAGUCCACGCCGUAAACGAUGUCAACUAGCCGUUGGAAGCCUUGAGCUUUUAGUGGCGCAGCUAACG
rnacentral:rRNA from 1 species